GACAGUGUGGUCUAGUGGUUUGAAUGUUAGACUACAAAUCUGGAGCCCAGGGUUUGAUUCCCAUCUCGGGCC